rnacentral:tRNA from 1 species
GUUGGUCUAGUUUAAGAAAAAAUAGAAGCUUGUCAAGCUUCAGAUGCAGAAAUAUUGUGGCUGAUUU